CCCCAUGGUCAUCUCCUUUCUUCAUUCCUCCAUCUCUCUUCUUUCUCUCCACUCUCCCACUUGUUUACUCCUUGGAAGUUGAAGAAGAAGGCCAUCCAUCACCGGAGUUCGAGUCUCCACCGGUGGUCUUGGCAUCCGAAGGUGAGGAGAAGAAGAGCAAGUAGCCGCCAGGCGUCCUCCAAAGGCAAGGACCACCUUGAGCAUCAUCUUGGAUCUCUUUUUGAAUUUAGGAUCACCAAAUCAGGAGCAGUAGACCUAGGGAUCUUAGAAGACUUCCAGUAGAUGCCUUCUUUGGAAUUAUGUUCUGUGGCUUAUGUAUUUGCAUUUGUUGUA